CCUACGGGGGGCAGCAGUGAGGAAUAUUGGUCAAUGGACGAGAGUCUGAACCAGCCAAGUAGCGUGAAGGAUGACUGCCCUAUGGGUUGUAAACUUCUUUUAUAAAGGAAUAAAACGAGGCACGUGUGCCUUUUUGCAUGUACUUUAUGAAUAAGGAUCGGCUAACUCCGUGCCAGCAGCCGCGGUAAUAUGGAGGAUCCGAGCGUUAUCCGGAUAUAUUGGGUUUAAAGGGAGCGUAGAUGGGUUGUUAAGUCAGUUGUGAAAGUUUGAGGCUCAACCGUAAAAUUGCAAUUGAUACUGGCAGUCUUGAGUACAGUUGAGGUAGGCGGAAUUCGUGGUGUAGCGGUUAAAUGCUUAGAUAUCACGAAGAACCCCGAUUGCGAAGGCAGCUUACUAAACUGUGACUGACAUUGAUGCUCGAAAGUGUGGGUAUCAAACAGGAUUAGAUACCCUUGUAGUC
rnacentral:rRNA from 1 species